UCUCUUAUCCUUCUUCUUUCUCCUUUGUCGUUUCUUUCUCUUUCUCUUCUUCCUGUUCUCGCCUACGAGAGAGCGCUGAGAGUGGUGAGUGGGAUUUGAUUGAUGAAAAUCAGGUAGUGAUGCUAUACAAAUGUUGAAGGUGGUGGUGCCGCUGUGAAUUAGGAAAAGAACAAUUAGGAAUGGAAGAUAUAAAUCAGUUAGGGUUUGUAAUACUCGUUAAUUGAAUUCGUAUGGAAUUGAUAUGGUACUUAGGUUGCUGCUAGAGAAGUAUCACAAGGGUUGUGGUUGAAUUGAAGCUUAGCAGUUGUCUCAGUGUUGAAUCGAAGAAUUAUGGUUUCAUAUGAUAAUACUCAAAAUAGGUUUAGAAGAUUAAAUUGAGGUUUUCAGGGAUGGAUUGGAGAUGGGUGUUGAAGAACGUGAGGUAAGGAAGAUUGGCAUAGGUUUAAUUUGGAUAUUUGGUUACAUGGAAGAAGAUUGAUUAAUAAAUUUGUGGAAUUAGGGUUUGUAAGAGAAGUCAAGGAAGAUGAAAUCGAGGGUUUGGAAGACAAAUUGGCGAUGGGUAUGGAUGAUAUGAAGUGUUGGAGCUAUGCUAUGAACUCGGAUUAUGAAAAGAGGACUAGAAACUAAUUUAGGGUUCAUGGGUUGAAUCACAGUUGGAGAAGAAGAGUAUGGAGUCACUGUUUGAGGUAACCUCUUUUUACCAAAUAGAGUUGAAUCGAAUUUCAUUUUGAAUUAUCGAAUUUGGAUAUUUGUUGGAUGUACUUUGAAUUGAAAUGUGAGUGUGCAGGAAUUGGAGUUGUUAUGAAUUGGUUGAGUAAAUUAGGGAAAAUAUCUGAGUUAAUGUAAUAAUUGAGAAUGUUUAGAGUUCUGCAAAGGGCAUGAAUACUGCAGGUUGGUAUGCAUUGAGGUGGAGUUGUGUUUGUCUUAGAAUUGGUAUUGUGGAGUGCAGAGAAGGAGUUAGUGGUCUAGUGCUGAAAUGGUGUUGAUGUUGUUACAUGAAAUGUGUUGGUAGAGUGGUUGUUGAGCUGAAGUGCAGAUUAACUAGUAUUCCAGGUGGAAGUAGUGGUGCUGAAAUGGAGAUGCAUGUGAUGAUGGUUUGAUUUAGAAUGGAUGAGUGUGUAGACAUUGCUGAUGAAUAGGCUUGAGUAGUAUGAGCUGAACCUAGUAUUAGAACUGUAUUAGUGGUGUUGUAGGAUGCAGGGAAAAAAUCUGGAGUUGUGGAUGAAUAAAUGUUAGAUGUACAGAAGUGAUAAUGAAGUUCAGUUCAUGGUCUGGGGAUGGGGAUGGAGUUGUAUUGUAGUCUUAGGAUGACCUGAGUUUGGUAAAUACAAUGGAAGGUAUUGCAACUACGUGCCAAUGUUGAUGGGGAUAUGAGAGGGGUUAAAGUUCAGUGGAUUGAUACACAUUGGGAAGAAUGAAGUGCAACUGUUAAUGAAGAUGAGCAUUAGCAGAUGGUGUUGGUCUCAACUGAAAUUGUUAGUGUUUUAUAUAAGUUAGGUCUGAUGUCUGUUGUUCAAGAUGAGAUGUUGUGUGAUUGAAAUCUUAGAAUGAGGGUUAAUUGAAUGUUCAGAGUUGUCUCUCUACUGGAAGCUUGCGACUGCCUUUGCAGGUAAGUUUGUAGGUGUAGUUAAAUUAUGAAGUUGUAUUUCAAUUUUUAUAUGUACUGUUGUAAUGUUGUAAGAUAGUAUUUGAACCGUUAGUUUCACAGAACCAACAAGCUUAUGUGAUUCAGACCUGUCAGCUUUCUAGCUAGCUGAUUCUCAGACUUAGUUAAUCUGUUUUAGUGUGUCUGACUGAGUUAACCAGAUUUGACUCAGUAGACUUUGAUCGAGUCGACUCUGUUGAGUCGUAUUGACCCAGUUGACCAUUUUGACUUUGACUAUUUGACCCUGGACCUAGACCUGACCUUAGACGUUGACUGUUAGAGACCUGUUGACUGUUAGUUUGACAGUUAGUGACCGUUAGUUGAUCCAACUAGACUGGGCCUUUGUUUAAUGGGCCUAUUUAGUGAACUUGGGCUUAUAGCCAGCUUCCCUAAGGAACAUGUAUUGGACCUUUGUGGUUAGAUUUAGCCUUUGAUUCCUUCUACAGUGUGUAGAUAUUUAUAAGACUUAACUAUGGAUUAUAGAAUCAAUCUAAUUGGAUUAGUUAAACCUUUAGAUAUGCAAGAUAUGGAUAAUAAAGAAGUGUAGAACUAUAAAUGGGCUUAGAGCAAUUAGAUAGACUUGUAUGAUUCUUGUAUGAGCCAUUUUGGCUAUCUUCUUAGACUUCUUGUAUGAUUAACAGUUAGUCUAUUAACAACGAUCGAUUCAAAGGAUGAACCAGUGGAUCUCGAGGUAGGCGUGUCUUGUCAUCAAAAGAGUUUUCAGAGGCAGAUCAGAGUUGCGCAGCGAAAGCCACAAGUGUUGACUCCGUUAAUUAGUUAACUACUGCUAUGUUCAUUAUGUUGUAAAUUUUAUUUGCAAACCAAACGACUAUUGUAUAUGUAUCAUUUAUAUUCUGAGCGGGGUUAAUUUUGGGAUAAGUUUUGUACCAGAUUUCUUAAUUGAUUGUUUAAGUAAAUGAUUUAGAUU